UACGUAGGCAGCGAGCGUUGUUCGGAAUUACUGGGCGUAAAGGGUUUGUAGGGGGCUUGUUAAGUCAGACGUGAAAUCCCUCAGCUUAACUGGGGAACUGCGUCUGAUACUGGCGAGCUUGAGUGCAGGAGAGGAACGCGGAAUUCCAGGUGUAGCGGUGAAAUGCGUAGAUAUCUGGAGGAACACCGGUGGCGAAGGCGGCGUUCUGGACUGCAACUGACACUGAUAAACGAAAGCCAGGGUAGCAAACGGG
rnacentral:rRNA from 1 species